CAGUCGCCGCGGUAAUACAGAGGGUGCGAGCGUUAAUCGGAUUUACUGGGCGUAAAGCGUGCGUAGGCGGCUUCUUAAGUCGGAUGUGAAAUCCCUGAGCUUAACUUAGGAAUUGCAUUCGAUACUGGGAAGCUAGAGUAUGGGAGAGGAUGGUAGAAUUCCAGGUGUAGCGGUGAAAUGCGUAGAGAUCUGGAGGAAUACCGAUGGCGAAGGCAGCAAUCUGGCCUAAUACUGACGCUGAGGUACGAAAGCAUGGGGAGCAAACAGGAUUAGAUACCCCAGUAGUCCCUGUCUCUUAUAC
rnacentral:rRNA from 1 species